rnacentral:rRNA from 1 species
GACGAAUGCUGGCGGCGUGCUUAACACAUGCAAGUCGAACGGUGAAAGCGGAGCUUGCUCCGCUGGAUCAGUGGCGAACGGGUGAGUAACACGUGGGCAACCUGCCCCUCACUUCGGGAUAACUCCGGGAAACCGGGGCUAAUACCGGAUAUGACCUCCUUGGGCAUCCUUGGGGGUGGAAAGUUUUUCGGUGAGGGAUGGGCCCGCGGCCUAUCAGCUUGUUGGUGAGGUAGUGGCUCACCAAGGCGACGACGGGUAGCCGGCCUGAGAGGGCGACCGGCCACACCGGGACUGAGACACGGCCCAGACUCCUACGGGAGGCAGCAGUGGGGAAUAUUGCGCAAUGGGCGAAAGCCUGACGCAGCAACGCCGCGUGCGGGAUGACGGCCUUCGGGUUGUAAACCGCUUUCAGCAGGGAAGAAGCCGCAAGGUGACGGUACCUGCAGAAGAAGCACCGGCUAACUACGUGCCAGCAGCCGCGGUAA